UUUCUAUGAUGAAUCAAACUAACUCACUAUGACUAUUAAUGAAAACACAUGAACAUUUGAAAAAC
ensembl:snoRNA SNORD29 Small nucleolar RNA SNORD29